CGCCCCCAGCAAUGGCCAAAGACACAUUUUGUUGGUGGUGUUGAUCUUAUAUCAGUCAAGGGCAAAGCAGAUAGAAGUCCUUUGCUCAUCCUAGCCUGCCGCCUGACUUAAUCACCAACACAGUUUUAUGCCUAGGACACAUAA
rfam:Mus musculus chromosome 16, GRC primary reference assembly.